rnacentral:rRNA from 1 species
UACGUAGGGGGCAAGCGUUGUCCGGAAUCAUUGGGCGUAAAGCGCGUGUAGGCGGCCCGGUAAGUCCGCUGUGAAAGUCGGGGGCUCAACCCUCGAAUGCCGGUGGAUACUGCCGGGCUAGAGUGCGGGAGAGGCGAGUGGAAUUCCUGGUGUAGCGGUGAAAUGCGCAGAUAUCAGGAAGAACACCAAUGGCGAAAGCAGCUCUCUGGGACGGUACUGACGCUGAGACGCGAAAGCGUGGGGAGCGAACAGG